UAUGAGGUGGUCGAUUUAAGUCGGUAGAUUGUAAAUCUAUGAAUAAGUGUAUUACUUUCUCGUAA
rnacentral:tRNA from 1 species